UACAGAGGGGGCAAGCGUUGUUCGGAAUUACUGGGCGUAAAGGGCGCGUAGGCGGCCUUCUAAGUCGAACGUGAAAUCCCCGGGCUCAACCCGGGAACUGCGUCCGAUACUGGAAGGCUUGAAUCCGGGAGAGGGAUGCGGAAUUCCAGGUGUAGCGGUGAAAAUGCGUAGAUAUCUGGAGGAACACCGGUGGCGAAGGCGGCAUCCUGGACCGGCAUUGACGCUGAGGCGCGAAAGCCAGGGGAGCAAACGGG
rnacentral:rRNA from 1 species